rnacentral:piRNA from 1 species
UGAUGAGAUGCACUCUGGAGAAACUGG